rnacentral:rRNA from 1 species
UGGGGAAUCUUGGACAAUGGGCGCAAGCCUGAUCCAGCCAUGCCGCGUGGAUGAUGAAGGCCUUAGGGUUGUAAAAUCCUUUCGUUGGGGACGAUAAUGACGGUACCCAAAGAAGAAGCUCCGGCUAACUUCGUGCCAGCAGCCGCGGUAAUACGAAGGGGGCUAGCGUUGUUCGGAUUUACUGGGCGUAAAGCGCGUGUAGGCGGACUUGUAAGUUGGGGGUGAAAUCCCGAGGCUCAACCUCGGAACUGCCUUCAAAACUGGCGACCUGGACCUAAGUAGAGGCAAGUGGAAUUGCGAGUGUAGAGGUGAAAUUCGUAGAUAUUCGCAGGAACACCAGUGGCGAAGGCGACUUGCUGGACUUAUGGUGACGCUGAGACGCGAAAGCGUGGGGAGCAAACAGGAUUAGAUACCCCAGUAGUCCCUGAGCGGGCUGGCAAGGCGCAU